rnacentral:rRNA from 1 species
GACGAACGCUGGCGGCGUGCUUAACACAUGCAAGUCGAACGGGAGUAUUGAAGAAGCUUGCUUUAGAGAUACUUUAGUGGCGGACAGGUGAGUAACGCGUGAGGAGCUGUCCAAUGCAGGGGGACAACAGUUGGAAACGACUGCUAAUACCCCAUAAGCCGAGAGGUAAAAGGAUUUAUCCGGCAAUGGAGGUACUCGCGUCCUAUCAGCUAGUAGGUGAGGUAACGGCUCACCUAGGCGAAGACGGGUAGCCGGCCUGAGAGGGCGAACGGCCACACUGGAACUGAGAUACGGUCCAGACUCCUACGGGAGGCAGCAGUGGGGAAUAUUGGGCAAUGGGGGGAACCCUGACCCAGCGACGCCGCGUGGGUGAAGAAAUCCUUCGGGAUGUAAAGCCCUGUUGUAUGGGAAGAGCGGAAGACGGUACCAUACGAGGAAGCCCCGGCAAACUACGUGACAGCCGCCGCCGUAA